CUAUUCUGAAUGCUUGUAAGAUGCAGGGACAGUGUUGACCUCUGUAUUUAUCUCUAUACUACUUUAUGUGUGAAGGGUUUUGUUAGGUAUUAAAAAAAAAAAGUUUAUGUAGCUCUUAAUUCUGCUCUGAAAUUGCAGGAGAUGAGAGGUGCGGAGUCUGGUGUUCUAUUACUAAACUGCAAAGCCCACCAAGCCUGUUUAAAGCUUGGUGCUUCUCCUGUUCUGCUUUGUAAAUGGAUGCCUUCCACCUGAAAGUAAAAUGGCUCUCCUAGUUCCUAAAGACUGUCAAGGUACAGUGAGAUCAUGACUAUCCUAGAAUUCAUAUAGCAAUUCCUGGUAAAAACCUCUCUGUCAAAGCAGGAACCUUCAUUCAUUCCAG
rnacentral:lncRNA from 1 species